GCCAGCGUAGCUCAGCGGCAGAGCAACAGUUUUGUAAACUGUAGGCCGUCGGUUCAAAUCCGACCGCUGGCU
rfam:Candidatus Wildermuthbacteria bacterium RIFCSPLOWO2_01_FTLL_48_29 rifcsplowo2_01_scaffold_9184, whole genome shotgun sequence.